rnacentral:rRNA from 1 species
AGGGUGCAUGGCGGAUGUCUAGGCGUGAUGAGGCGAUGAAGGACGUGGCAGGCUGCGAUAAGCCCAGGGGAGCCGUCAAACGGGCUGUGAUCCUGGGAUCUCCGAAUGGGGAAACCCGUCGUCACUGGGCAACCAGAUGACGUCACGGACGGUCGAACGCAUAGACCGCCCCGAGCGAACGUGGCGAACUGAAACAUCUAAGUAGCCACAGGAAAAGAAAUCAACCGAGAUUCCGUCAGUAGCGGCGAGCGAAAGCGGAUUAGCCCAAACCGGCCUUCGGGCCGGGGUUGCGGGAGCCGAGAGGAGUUACAAAAGCACACGACAGCGGAACGGCAUGGAAAUGCCGGCCAUAGCGGGUGAUAGCCCCGUACGCAAAAUCAUGUGCACUCCGUUGAUCGGCUUACCAGAGUAGCGCGGAUGCCGUGAAACUCCGCGUGAAACCGGGGAGACCACUCUCCAAGGCUAAAUACUACAUCACGACCGAUAGUGGAAAGUAAGGCGACUGAACGAUGAAAAGCACCUCUACUAGAGGAGUGAAAAGCACCUGAACCCAUGCACCUACAAGAGGUCGGAGCCCUAUGGCCCGGUUUACCGGGCAACGGGUGACGGCGUGCCUUUUGCAUAAUGAACCGGCGAGUUACGGUUUGCGGCAAGGCUAAGCACCUCCGGUGCGGAGCCGUAGCGAAAGCGAGUCUGAAUAGGGCGAACAAAGUCGCAGGCUGUAGACCCGAAACCCAGUGGUCAACCCAUGAGCAGGGUGAAGCGCGAGUAAGAUCGCGCGAAGGCCCGAAGCCGUGAACGUUGAAAAGUUCUGGCAUGACUUGUGGGGAGGAGUGAAAGUCUAAUCAAACUGGGAGAUAUCUGGUUCUCUCCGAAAUAACUUUAGGGUUAGCCUCGAGACAAUUGCGCGAUGGGGGUAGAGCACUGGCUGAAACGCGGGGCCCACCAGGCUACCGCCUUCAAUCAAACUCCGAAUACCAUCGCGUGUACCUCGGGAGUUAGUCCGCGGGGGAUAACCUUCACGGACAAAAGGGAAAGAACCCAGACCACCGGCUAAGGCCCCAGAGCGAUGCUAAGUGAUUAAGGAAGUCGGAUUGCUGAGACAGUCAGGAUGUUGGCUUAGAAGCAGCCACCAUUUAAAAAGUGCGUAAUAGCUUACUGAUCGAGCAACCCGGCGCCGAAAAUGAACGGGACUAAGCAUCGCGCCGAAGCCGUGGACUUGGGCGCAAGCUCAAGUGGUAGGAGAGCGUUGCCGUCGGCGUUGAAGGCGUACCGCAAGGAGCGCUGGAGCGGCGGCAAGUGAGAAUGCCGGUAUGAGUAACGAUAAAGCAGGUGAGAAUCCUGCUCCCCGCAAGCCUAAGGUUUCCUGGGGAAGGUAAAUCCGCCCAGGGUUAGUCGGGACCUAAGUCGAGGCUGAAAGGCGUAGACGAUGGACAGCAGGUCAAUAUUCCUGCACCGUGUAUUGAAGGUUUGCACCAAAGGAGAGACGCAUCGCCAAGGCGGAUCGCACGGAUAGACGCGUGCGUUGAGGACAUUGGCCCGGCCGAUUUAAUAGAUCGGCGGAACGGCCGGCGUCCGCUCGAGGCCGCUUGGUUGCCGAAGUCCGUGGCGGCGGUGCCAAGAAAAUCUUCGUUGGGACGACAAUGCGCGCCCGUACUAAAACUGACACAGGUAGGCGAGGCGAGUAGCCUCAGGGGCUCGAGAGAACCGUCCUUAAGGAACUAGGCAAAUUAACCCCGUAAGUUCGCGAUAAGGGGGCCCUACGCGUGAUGGCGAGGGCGCAGAGAAUCGGAUCUAGCGACUGUUUAUCAAAAACACAGGACUCUGCCAACUCCUACAGAGGAUGUAUAGAGUCUGACGCCUGCUCGGUGCCGGAAGGUUAAGGAAGGCGGUCAUCCCGUAAGGGAGAAGCUGGCGACCGAAGCCCCGGUUAACGGCGGCCCUAACUAUGAGGGUCCUAAGGUAGCGAAGUUCCUUGUCGGGUAAGUUCCGACGCGCAUGAAUGGCGUAACGACUGGAUCACUGUCUCAAGGACGGACUCGGUGAAAUUAUAGUCCAGGCGAAGAUACCUGGUACCCGCGGCAAGACGGAAAGACCCCAUGAACCUUUACUGUAGGCUGAUAUUGUUGCCUCGCGCCGCAUGCGUAGGAUAGGUGGGAGGCGUUGAAGUCCGGCUUCCGGGUCGGAUGGAGCCACCGUUGAAAUACCACCCUUGUAUCGUGAGUCAACUAACCUUGACCCAUGAAUCUGGGCAGGGAACAGUGUUAGCUGGGCAGUUUGACUGGGGCGGUCUCCUCCCAAACGAUAACGGAGGAGUUCAAAGGCACCCUCAGCACGGUUGGCAAUCGUGCGCAGAGCGCAAGGGUAUAAGGGUGCUCGACUGCGAGACAGAUAUGUCGAGCAGAUGUGAAAGCAGGACCUAGUGACCCGGUGGUCCCGAGUGGAAGGGCCAUCGCUUAACAGAUAAAAGGUACUCUGGGGAUAACAGGCUGAUCUCUCCCGAGCGUCCAUAGCGGCGGGGAGGUUUGGCACCUCGAUGUCGGCUCAUCACAUCCUGGGGCUGAAGGUGGUCCCAAGGGUUCGGCUGUUCGCCGAUUAAAGUGGUACGCGAGCUGGGUUCAGACCGGCGUGAGCCAGGUCGGUCCCUAUCUGCCGUGGGCGAAGGAAUAUUGACAGGAUUCUUCCCUAGUACGAGAGGAUUGGGAAGGACGGACCUCUGGUGUACCAGUUGUCACGCUAGUGGCACGGCUGGGUAGCUAUGUCCGGAAAGGAUAACCGCUGAAAGCAUCUAAGCGGGAAGCCCACCUGAAGAUGAGUAUUCCAUGUUGCUUCGGCAACGAGAGGUCGCUGGUAGACCACCAGCUUGAUAGGCCGGCGGUGUAAGGCGCGAAAUCGCCUCAGCUUACCGGUACUAACGACCAAUCGCUUGAUCA